AAGCGGGAAUAGCUCAGACUGAAAAUCUUCGGAAUUGUAGUCUGGAGAAGCGAAGUCAGCGAAGUCCACCGGCAAAGUCUUCUGGAACGGAGCGCCAAGGAGGGUGAUAGCCCCGUCUAUGCCAGGUGGGUGGAGCGUACGACUCGCUUUCAACGAGUCGAGUUGUUUGGGAUUGCAGCUCUAAGCGGGUGGUAAAUUCCAUCUAAAGCUAAAUAUUGGUGGGAGACCGAUAGCGAACAAGUACCGUGAGGGAAAGAUGAAAAGAACUUUGAAAAGAGAGUUAAACAGUACCUGAAAUUGCUGAAAUGGAACCGAUGGGAGGCAGUGUUGGCGCUUGGUCAUUUUGUGUAUCCCGCAUGCGGGGUGCUCGUGUGUCCGAGCGCAAGUCAGGCUUUCUUUGACGAGCGGGAGAGGUCUCAAACCUGUGAGGGUUGAGGGUGCCGUCGCUUGUUGGAGGGACUUUGACGAAAUGCCUCUUAUCACCCCGUCUUGAAACACGGACCAAGGAGUCUAACAUGUGUGCGAGUGCUCGGGGUUCAUCCCCCAGCGCGGAAUUAAUGUGAAGGCGGACCUAGUCCGCUGAGGUAGGAUGCUUCGGCUGCACUAUCGACCGACCAUGAUCCCUCGGGAGAAAGGUUUGAGUGUGAGCAUACAUGUUGGGACCCGAAAGAUGGUGAACUAUGCCUGAGUAGGGCGAAGCCAGGGGAAACUCUGGUGGAGGUCCGCAGCGAUUCUAACGUGCAAAUUGAUCGUCGAACUUGGGUAUAGGGGCGAAAGACUAAUCGAACCAUCUAGUAGCUGGUUCCUCCCGAAAUUUCCCUCAGGAUAGCUGCAACCAAACAGUUUUAUCAGGUAAAGCGAAUGAUUAGAGGCCUCAGGGGUGGAACGUCCUUGACCUAUUCUCAAACUUUAAAUGGGUAAGAGCCCGGGGUUGCUUAAUUGAACCCUGCGGUCGAAUGAUGGUUGCUAGUGGGCCAAUCUGGGUAAGCUAGAUUGGCGAUGCGGGAUGAACCGAACGUCGAGUUAAAGUGCCAAAGUAUCCGCUCACCUAGAUCCCACAAAAGGUGUUGGUUCAUUAAGA
rnacentral:rRNA from 1 species